rnacentral:rRNA from 1 species
GACGAACGCUGGCGGCGUGCUUAACACAUGCAAGUCGAACGGAAAGGCCCUGCUUUUGUGGGGUGCUCGAGUGGCGAACGGGUGAGUAACACGUGAGUAACCUGCCCUUGACUUUGGGAUAACUUCAGGAAACUGGGGCUAAUACCGGAUAGGAGCUCCUGCUGCAUGGUGGGGGUUGGAAAGUUUCGGCGGUUGGGGAUGGACUCGCGGCUUAUCAGCUUGUUGGUGGGGUAGUGGCUUACCAAGGCUUUGACGGGUAGCCGGCCUGAGAGGGUGACCGGCCACAUUGGGACUGAGAUACGGCCCAGACUCCUACGGGAGGCAGCAGGGGGGAAUAUUGCACAAUGGGCGGAAGCCGGAUGCAGCAACGCCGGGGGCGGGAUGACGGCCUUGGGGUUGUAAACCGCUUUCGCCUGUGACGAAGCGUGAGUGACGGUAAUGGGGAAAGAAGCACCGGCUAACUACGU